rnacentral:rRNA from 1 species
AUUGAACGCUGGCGGCAGGCCUAACACAUGCAAGUCGAGCGGGGUUUUCGGACCUAGCGGCGGACGGGUGGGUAAUGCGUAGGAAGCUACCCGAUAGAGGGGGAUACCAGUUGGAAACGACUGUUAAUACCGCAUAAUGUCUACGGACCAAAGUGUGGGACCUUCGGGCCCCAUGCUGUCGGAUGCGCCUACGUGGGAUUAGCUAGUUGGUGGGGUAAUGGCUCACCAAGGCGAGGAUCCCUAGCGGGUUUGAGAGGAUGAUCAGCCACACUGGAACUGAGACACGGUCCAGACGCCUACGGGAGGCAGCAGUGGGGAAUAUUGGACACUGGGCGCAAGCCUGAUCCAGCCAUGCCGCGUGUGUGAAGAAGGCCUUCGGGUUGUAAAGCACUUUCAGUAGGGAGGAAGGGUGUUGUGUUAAUAGCACAGCAUUUUGACGUUACCUACAGAAGAAGCACCGGCUAACUCUGUGCCAGCCGCCGCGGUAAUAC